UGCCUCUGACCAGAGCUAGUGAACUGGCCUGCCUGCAAAGCAGAGUUUGGCGGGUGCGAUCCCCGCAGAGGUAUCCA
rnacentral:tRNA from 1 species